UACAUGCAAGUCGAGCGAACGGACGAGAAGCUUGCUUCUCUGAUGUUAGCGGCGGACGGGUGAGUAACACGUGGAUAACCUACCUAUAAGACUGGGAUAACUUCGGGAAACCGGAGCUAAUACCGGAUAAUAUUUUGAACCGCAUGGUUCAAAAGUGAAAGACGGUCUUGCUGUCACUUAUAGAUGGAUCCGCGCUGCAUUAGCUAGUUGGUAAGGUAACGGCUUACCAAGGCAACGAUGCAUAGCCGACCUGAGAGGGUGAUCGGCCACACUGGAACUGAGACACGGUCCAGACUCCUACGGGAGGCAGCAGUAGGGAAUCUUCCGCAAUGGGCGAAAGCCUGACGGAGCAACGCCGCGUGAGUGAUGAAGGUCUUCGGAUCGUAAAACUCUGUUAUUAGGGAAGAACAUAUGUGUAAGUAACUGUGCACAUCUUGACGGUACCUAAUCAGAAAGCCACGGCUAACUACGUGCCAGCAGCCGCGGUAAUACGUAGGUGGCAAGCGUUAUCCGGAAUUAUUGGGCGUAAAGCGCGCGUAGGCGGUUUUUUAAGUCUGAUGUGAAAGCCCACGGCUCAACCGUGGAGGGUCAUUGGAAACUGGAAAACUUGAGUGCAGAAGAGGAAAGUGGAAUUCCAUGUGUAGCGGUGAAAUGCGCAGAGAUAUGGAGGAACACCAGUGGCGAAGGCGACUUUCUGGUCUGUAACUGACGCUGAUGUGCGAAAGCG
rnacentral:rRNA from 1 species